rnacentral:rRNA from 1 species
GAUUCCCCUAGUAACUGCGAGUGAAGAGGGAAGAGCUCAAAUUUAAAAUCUGGCSGUCUCUGGCUGUCCGAGUUGUAAAUUAGAGAAGUGUUAUCCGCUCAAGCCUGUGCAAAAGUCUCUUGGAAAAGGGCAUCAUAGAGGGUGACAAUCCCGUCUUUGGCACAGAUCACUUGCGCUUUUGUGAUGCGCUCUCGAUGAGUCGAGUUGUUUGGGAAUGCAGCUCUAAAUGGGUGGUAAAUUCCAUCUAAAGCUAAAUAUGGGCGAGAAACCGAUAGCGAACAAGUACCGUGAGGGAAAGAUGAAAAGCACUUUGAAAAGAGAGUCAAACAGUAUGUGAAAUUGUUGAAAGGGAAACGCUUGAAGUCAGUCGUAUCCUUCAGAAAUCAACCUGACCUUUGGCUGGGUGCAUUUUUUGUUGGAUGGGUCAGCAUCAAUUUUGAUCAUUGGAUAAAGGACUUGGGAAUGUGGCAUCUUUGGAUGUGUUAUAGCCYCUGUUUGUAUACAAUGAUUGGGAUUGAGGAACUCAGUGUGACUUUGGUUUGGAGGUAUUGCACCUCACACACGCACUUAGGAUGCUGGCAUAAUGGCUUUAAUCGACCCGUCUUGAAACACGGACCAAGGAGUCUAACAUGCAUGCGAGUGUUUGGGUGGAAAACUCAAGCGCGCAAUGAAAGUGAAAGUUGAGAACCCCUUUGGGGUGCAUCGACGCCCGGACUUGAUCUUUUGUGACGGACCUGCGGUAGAGCAUGUAUGUUGGGACCCGAAGAUGGUGAACUAUGCCUGAUAGGUGAAGUCAGAGGAACUCUGAUGGAGCUCGUAGCGAUCUGACGUGCAAUCGAUCGUCAAUUUGGUAUAGGGGCGAAGACUAUCGACAUCUAGUAGCU